rnacentral:rRNA from 1 species
UAUGGAGCUUUAAUUAUUUAAUUCAAUAUUUUCGCAAUCUCACUCCACAGGAGCUUAACCAAGAAAAUUUAUGAAUUAAAAAUUUUGGUUGGGGUGACCUCGGAGCAAAAACCAACCUCCGAAUGAUUAUAAGCCUAGACCCAACAAGUCAAAGCAUUAAAAUCAUAAAUUGACCCAAAUCCCUUUUGAUCAACGGAACAAGUUACCCUA